AGCACUGUGCCGAAAUCGGGAAACGGCUAGGGACGCCACACCCCUAGGCUGAUGUCUGACGAUGACAGUAAGCGGUGUAGGUUCGAGUCCUACCGGUGUUA
rnacentral:tRNA from 1 species